rnacentral:rRNA from 1 species
GCCGGAAUCGCUAGUAAUCGCGGAUCAGAAUGCCGCGGUGAAUACGUUCCCGGGUCUUGUACACACCGCCCGUCACACCACGGGAGCCGGAAAUGCCCGAAGUCGGUGACCCAACCGCAAGGGGGAGCCGCCGAAGGCAGGUCCGGUGACUGGGGUGAAGUCGUAACAAGGUAUC